GAAACUGCCUGAUGGAGGGGGAUAACUACUGGAAACGGUAGCUAAUACCGCAUAACGUCGCAAGACCAAAGAGGGGGACCUUCGGGCCUCUUGCCAUCGGAUGUGCCCAGAUGGGAUUAGCUUGUUGGUGGGGUAACGGCUCACCAAGGCGACGAUCCCUAGCUGGUCUGAGAGGAUGACCAGCCACACUGGAACUGAGACACGGUCCAGACUCCUACGGGAGGCAGCAGUGGGGAAUAUUGCACAAUGGGCGCAAGCCUGAUGCAGCCAUGCCGCGUGUAUGAAGAAGGCCUUCGGGUUGUAAAGUACUUUCAGCGGGGAGGAAGGGAGUAAAGUUAAUACCUUUGCUCAUUGACGUUACCCGCAGAAGAAGCACCGGCUAACUCCGUGCCAGCAGCCGCGGUAAUACGGAGGGUGCAAGCGUUAAUCGGAAUUACUGGGCGUAAAGCGCACGCAGGCGGUUUGUUAAGUCAGAUGUGAAAUCCCCGGGCUCAACCUGGGAACUGCAUCUGAUACUGGCAAGCUUGAGUCUCGUAGAGGGGGGUAGAAUUCCAGGUGUAGCGGUGAAAUGCGUAGAGAUCUGGAGGAAUACCGGUGGCGAAGGCGGCCCCCUGGACGAAGACUGACGCUCAGGUGCGAAAGCGUGGGGAGCAAACAGGAUU
rnacentral:rRNA from 1 species